rnacentral:rRNA from 1 species
AGAGUUUCGAUCCUGGCUCAGAUUAACGCUGGCGGCGUGCAUAACACAUGCAAGUCGAACGAUUGAAACUUUAAUGGAACCCUUCGGGGAGAAUUAAAGCGGAUUAGUGGCGAACGGGUGAGUAACGCGUGAGUAACCUGCCUUACACAAGGGGAUAGCCUUUGGAAACGAAGAAUAAUACCCUAUAAAACCAUAAAGGCACAUGCAAUUAUGGUCAAAGUAUUAGCGGUGUAAGAUGGACUUGCGUCUGAUUAGCUAGUUGGUGAGAUAAAAGCCCACCAAGGCAACGAUCAGUAGCCGGCUUGAGAGAGUGUACGGCCACAUUGGGACUGAGACACGGCCCAGACUCCUACGGGAGGCAGCAGUGGGGAAUUUUGCACAAUGGGGGAAACCCUGAUGCAGCGACGCCGCGUGAUUUAGAAGGCCUUCGGGUUGUAAAAAUCUUUUGUAUAGGAAGAAAAUGACAAUACUAUACGAAUAAGGUCCGGCUAAUUACGUG